GCUGGGAUUAAAAGGCUGUGAGCCACAGAAACACAUCGUAUUGAGAGGUGACCGCUGGGAUUAAAAGGCUGUGAGCCACAGAAACACACCGUAUUGAGAGGUGACCGCUGGGAUUAAAAGGCUGUGAGCCACAGAAACACACCGUAUUGAGAGGUGACCGCUGGGAUUAAAAGGCUGUGAGCCACAGAAACACACCGUAUUGAGAGGUGACCGCUGGGAUUAAAAGGCUGUGAGCCACAGAAACACACCGUAUUGAGAGGUGACCGC